GACGAACGCUGGCGGCGUGCUUAACACAUGCAAGUCGAACGAAGAGCGAUGGAAGCUUGCUUCUAUCAAUCUUAGUGGCGAACGGGUGAGUAACGCGUAAUCAACCUGCCCUUCAGAGGGGGACAACAGUUGGAAACGACUGCUAAUACCGCUUACGAUCCAAUCUCGGCAUCGGGACUGGAUGAAAGGUGGCCUCUAUUUAUAAGCUAUCACUGAAGGAGGGGAUUGCGUCUGAUUAGCUAGUUGGAGGGGUAACGGCCCACCAAGGCGAUGAUCAGUAGCCGGUCUGAGAGGAUGAACGGCCACAUUGGGACUGAGACACGGCCCAGACUCCUACGGGAGGCAGCAGUGGGGAAUCGUCCGCAAUGGACGAAAGUCUGACGGAGCAACGCCGCGGGAGUGAUGACGGCCGUCGGGUUGUAAAGCUCUGUUAAUCGGGACGAAUGGUUCUUGUGCGAAUAGUGCGAGGAUUUGACGGUACCGGAAUAGAAAGCCACGGCUAACUACGUG
rnacentral:rRNA from 1 species